GCCGCGAUCCCCCCCCCUCCGUUUGCCCGGCCUCCCGCUUGCUUGCCCGGCUGCCGGCUGAGUCGGGGCGGCGGUGCGAUGGGGCGCAUCGAGUGGGCCAUGUGGGCGAACGAGCAGGCGCUGGCCGCCGGGCUGAUUUUAGUGACCGGUGGCAUCGUGGCGGUUGCAGGCCAAUU